UACAGAGGUCUCAAGCGUUGUUCGGAUUCAUUGGGCGUAAAGGGUGCGUAGGCGGCGCGGUAAGUCGGGGUGUGAAAUUUCGAGGCUUAACUUCGAAACUGCAUUCGAUACUGCCGUGCUUGAGGACUGGAGAGGAGACUGGAAUUUACGGUGUAGCGGUGAAAUGCGUAGAUAUCGAGAGGAACACCUGCGGCGAAGGCGGGUAGCUGGGCCGACACUGACGCUGAGGCGCGAAAGCCAGGGGAGCGAACGGG
rnacentral:rRNA from 1 species